rnacentral:rRNA from 1 species
UCUGAAUCUGCGUACGGCUCCGCAAACCAGUUGUAAACCAAAGCAAGCAUACUCGGGGACUGCCCUUCACGGGGUGGGCUCGGGUGAUACGGAUAACCCUGGUAAUUCUGAGGCUAAUACGAGACUAUAAUCCCUGGCGGACCGGGCAACUGGGAAGCUGGGGGGCGUGCGAUCUAUUUGCAAGACGAUACCAGGAGGGGGUGCACGCUCUGACCGCGAUAAAGACGGUUCCGGUAAACCUUCGGGCGAGCUGGUUCCGAGCGGCUCUUGCGAUGUGCUUCUGACCUAUCAACUAGAUGGCAGCGUAACGGACAUGCUAU